GGGUUGUUAGCUCAGCGGUAGAGCAAUCGGCUUUUAACCGAUUGGCCGUAGGUUCGAAUCCUACACGACCCACCA
rnacentral:tRNA from 1 species